UUAUUCCUGUUUUUAGUUAUAACUAUUGUUUUCAGGGAACAACCUACAGAUCCAACUGACAACAUUUUUUGUGUAGCAUUCCUUCUACAAGCAUUCCAGUGCAUACCAUUGCUGCAUAGAAAAGAACAAGAAAAAUUAUCAUUCACACGAAUUUAAAAGAUUACUCUCCACUGGAUGUCUAAGUAUACUGUAUUGCCUUCGCUGAUGUCCACUGCAUGACAUCACAUCUUGAGAGCACAAUGGUUGAAUAAUUAUUGUUCUCUUUUAAAAUUUCCCGUUCUUGGGUUCAGAUCCAACCAAUAGGAAAAUGGUAGUUUAUUAGCGCAUCUCUUUUGACACCAUAUUUUAUUAGGAAAUUAUGCAGUGGUUGGCCGCCUGUUGGUACAGCCUCAAAGGACAGCAACUUGGGGUUCUCCAACUAGUAGUUUUCAGUAGUUAAUAGAUGGUUUUAAAAUAUCAUCCUUUUAGUUGACUGAUUUUUCUAUUUUUAAUUCUUAUCCUGCCUUAAUUAGUCAUGUAAUUGUUGCCUAGUUUUCACAAAACAUAUCUAUAUCCCAUUCUUCAUACACAAAAGCAAAAUAACUGGACAAUCUAAAUUGUUACUAAGUUCUAAGGGGGCAAGGCCUACAUAUGCUUCAUACAAUCGCAAGGAAACAACUGCACAUAUAAUGUUUGAAAACCGUCUACAAAAUUCUCCUUUUCUGAGUAAGGAUAACUGGUUUGGUAAGCGUCCUGUGUAUUUGACUUCUGAAAUUAACAAAAAUAAACCCACCUGUACAAUUUUGUAAGUCCAAACCUCACCAACCCAAAAGUUCUUUUUUGGACACAUAGUUGAUACUUGCAUUUGACAUUUGUAGUUUCUGAAUGGUUGGAUUGUGAUGGAUACCCAACAUCUUGGAUGGAUAUGGAUGAUGGAGAGGAUGCAAAAGUAAUUCUCCAGUCAAGGAUCAAUAGAAAUUGAGGGAGAUGAAUCUAACAUUUCAUUGAUUUAAACCAUGAAAACGGCAGUUAGUCGACUAGGUAACAUAUUAUGCUGACAAAGGUGGUGAAUGCGAGACUGAGAGGUCCAGUGAAAGGAACACACAACUAAAUGGGUGCUCACAGAGGGAACACAUCUGUGCAUUCUGUGGUGCGAGAUUGGUGUCCAAAUCAACGGAAUCGUUGAGGUCGAUCUUGUGUGUAGGGCAAACCAGCUUUUCGAUUGUAAUCAAGGGUAGAUUGACCACCAAGAGUGCAGCUCCAAGGUGUAAACAAUGGUUCAAUCAUCUUGAUCCAAUUGCAAAGAUCAUUAUUCUGGAUUUCUUCAGUUGACACAUAACUUGGGCACUUGGUAUUCUCAGGACAGAACUAGAGCAAUAAUUUACAUUGGGGCUGGGAAGCAAAUUUACGCACCGAAGUUGAUCUCCUUUUAUUAUGAUCCCAUCAGUGACCCUUACACAUCAUUAUUUGCAUCACUGUUCUGAAUUUCUCCAGUCACAUACUUACAACUUGGUGUGGGGUACUACUACGGGCAUGUGGUUGGCAAAGACAUUAUUAGUUUGAUGUAUAUUAUUUAUAUUUUCUGUUUUGAUAUCCUAUGUUGGUUGUAUCUUAUUAAUGAGAGUUCGUAUGAAUUUAUUUUUGGGAAUAUAGCACAUAGAGAUGUUCAUGGGAGGAGUACCUUAAUAAAGAUGAGGUGGAUUAUGAGAUCGUAUGGAGGAGUAAGCGUCAUCCGACGGUGCUGUCAAGCUAUCUAGAUAAUCAUAAAAAGGCAAUUCGUGAUUUUUACCGUGCUAUGUAUCCCCAGCACAAGAGGAGAGCUAUAGAUGUUGAAGAGGUAGCGGCUAAUGGGGUGCAAAUGGAGAUAAUGAAGGUUUUUAUUGCUAAUUUGCCUAUGGUUGUCUCAAACGACGAUGACGAUGAUAAUGAUGAUGCGUUGCUCUAUGAAGGAUCGGACAAUUAGCAUGUAGGGUCAGUUCGAUGAGUAUAUUGUUAGUGUCCUAUAUUAACGUACUAUGUUAGAAACUAUUUGUGAAUUUUAUUUGUAAUCGUCGUCUAAUGUACUAUAUGAACCAUAUAUAUUGUUUUAUUUGUGUCUUUGCUAA